GGAGUUAGGAAAUGUAGGUGUGCUAAUAUCACGCCUAUUUGACGAAGGCUCCAAAGGAAGUCACGGCUAACUCUGUGCCAGCAGCCGCGGUAAUACAGAGGUGGCAAGCGUUGUUCGGAAUUAUUGGGCGUAAAGAGCACGUAGGUGGGUUUGUAAGUCAGAUGUGAAAGCCUCCUGUUCAACGGGAGAAUUGCAUCUGAAACUACUGAUCUUGAGUGUAGGAGGGGAGAGUGGAACUUCUG
rnacentral:rRNA from 1 species